UGUGCUGGGUUGUGAGUAGAACUCUCCAGAGUCCAGAGAAUCUCUGUACCUUUCGGGAUAGCUGAAGCUGCUAGCAGCCAACCCACGUCAAGAACAGAAGAAUCAGCCUCUUUGAGCCUUACCACCCAACAUUGACUUCAAUGUGAGCAUCCAAGAUGGCGACCACGUCUGCUGUGGCAGCUUCCCAGCCAGUGUUGCGGGCUUGAGCAAGACCUUUCCUCUCAGGAUGCCGUAUUAUUUUCAGUAGUCCUGGAUACUUCUGGUUGUAAAGCUUAAUCUUCUCAUCCAAGUGUACCUUUAGUUCUCCUGUCAAUCAAGUGCACACCUAUAGCAAUUCUGAGUGCAACAAUCAAUGUGAUACAAAAGUUUUAUACUAUCAUAUAAUCGUGACUGGACUACCUCCAGCAUAAAAUGGGCAAUUCUAAGAGUCAGCUAGAAAAUAAGUCGUAUUUCCCCUGCACCUGCCUGUCUUCUCCCUUUCACCUGAGGUGUACUGUGAUCAUUCCUAAUUUCCUUUCCCUCACAGUUAAACUAUCUUAGAAUGAUAAUACUGCUUACUACAUGUCAGGCACUGUUGUAAGUGCUUUUUCACAUUGAGAAGUUCUUGAGAGAAUGAGUAGGACAGAUCUAGCCCAAGGUGCACACGUUGACGGACAACACUGCAGGAAGGCCUGGAACAUCUUCAUAGCUAAACUCUCAAGACUCUAGAGAAUCCAUAAAUGACGAAAAUUGUUUUGUUUUGGAUAUUCCCAGUUGACCUACUUAAGGACCAACUGGGACAGAAUGCACAGAUUAAUCUCUUUGCCAGCUUCUAGCUAGUAAAUUUAGCCCAAAAAUUACGCAAACAAGAUUCACUAUUCCCAGAUUGUUCUCAGGUAGUUUUCUUCCCUCUCUUUUAAUAAAGCUUGUCUGUGGCUUUGUUCUUGGGCUCAGCCUACCGCCGACUUCCUCACGUGUAAGAAAACAACUUUCAUGCAAAUCACUGAACCGUAUGCAAAACAUCUAACCAAAUGACUCUGAGUUACUCGUUGAUAAAAUUUAGUUAAUUCUGAAA